rnacentral:tRNA from 1 species
AAUUUUGUAGUCAAACUAUGAUAUUAGAAUGCAAUUCUAAAGUUACGUUAUGUUAAGAUUU